UUUACUUACAAUAAACAGAAAGCCAGCUCUUAAGUCAAUUCAUCAUUUCGCUGUUUCACUUUACUUCGAUUAGUUUAUAACUAUGUAUCUCAAUAUUUCAAUGGUUUUAAUCAAUUUAAUGUUUCGUUAUUGUUUGGUUAGCAAGCCAUCUAAUCUACGCACCGUUUGUCGAAAGAUAUUCAAAAAGUGGAUAUGAUAGGACGAUUGGAUUACUCUUAUUUUUAAGGUAGCGUUUUGUUUCUUUUGAUCGUCUGCUUUACACUACUGUAUUUAUUUAAUUUCAAACCAUAACUGGAAAGAAUGGAAAUUUCAACCCGAUCAAGCUGAAAUCAACAAUCAACUGUUCAAAAUCUAUUACUGUAAAACUUUUUAUUGUGUAUUUAUUGGAUUCCAGAAGUGAAAAAUAAGCCUAUUUUAAGUAAAAAGAGGCAAAAUCACGGAAUAUUAGAAUUAAAAGGACCUGUAAGCUAUUUCAGCGAGACAAUCAUUUGUUAUUGAUGUUCCCAUUUUCCUAUUAAGUUUCAAUUCAUAAUCGAUUAUCAAGAUUUAAAAACAAAAUUGGCGAAGAGAAAAAUUUCUACUUGUAUGUAGAAUAGACAGAAAAAUUUCCAUGGAUAAAGAAUCGAAAGGGAAAUCAAUUUUGGCAAGUCAAAGGGUUAAUGUGGACUUGGCCUUUAUGACAAAAAUACUUCAUCACCAAAGGAUUAUCAAGUUUUAAUUUUAGUCUCACUUUUUUUAUUGUAUCAAUAGAUCAAAUUGUCAAUAGGCAAUAGACUAAACACUCAGGUUGCAGCCAAUUUUAGCCUGUUUGGACCUCUUUUUGUUCAAGAUUGAGUAUUGACUGGAACUGAUUGAGCCUCCGAUGAAUUUUCCUAAAGCAAUGAUAACAUGAAACAAAAAAAGAAAGUUUAAGGUGAAAACAUAGAUAGUUUGGCAAUUUAAAAAAAAAUAAUUGGCAACUCAGUGAACAGCAUUAACUUGCUCAUGAAUGCAAUGUCAAGGUCUUGUUUUGUAAUCACCUUGCAUCUUAUGUAUUUAGCAUGACUGGAUCAAUCUGGAAUCGAUUUUGGGAAGAGAAACAAAUGACCAUAAGAUGAGUUUUCUUGGUCAACAUUAAAAAAUGGUUUCAUUCAUUUGGAUUAAUUGUUGAACUUCCUUGUUAAGCUCAUCUUGGCAAAACUUAUAAAAGCCCGGCCAUUGAAAAACAAACCGGUAGAGACUAAUUUUGCCUGCUAAAGAAUCUUGGAGAUGAAUCUACAUUUUAAUUUGGUGGAUUUACAUGAUACAACUGAUAAUACACUUGAUUGGCUCAAUUUGACCUGAAUAACAUUAAUAUUCAACCAGUUCCAACUAGACUUGGAUAGCUUUUGGGAUUGACUCUUGUAUUUUCAUUUCGUUAUUAUCAAGUUAACGUUAAUACUAUUCUCAUCAAUUAACCUUGAAUUGUUUAACUUUAAUCACAUGUUUGUUUCUUUUACUACCUUUUACAGAUUACUCACAUUCACUUACAAGAUUUAUUGAUUUGCCCAUGAACUUGACGUCCUUUGACAGAAAGAAAGGCUGACAUUUAUUAUCGCUAUUAUUGCAACAGUUUUUGCCUUGUGAAACAACAGAGAUUUACUAAAAUAAAUGAUUGAACUUUGUUUUCCUGGACUGUGUCACAAGAUUGAGCAAGAUUGGGCAAGAUUGGCGGAGGAAAUGCGAAAACAAAUUAGUUUGAAUAAUGGAAAGAUAUGAUAACAGUAACAAUAAGAAAUGAAAUACUGUUUAACUAGCAAGACACACAAGAAGAUGUUAAUCAGAUGCCUGAUGACCAUCAAAAAAUGCGCAAUGGAGAUUGAAAGCAAAAGCAAAAAGUAAACCUUGGCCUAAAAAGUUUGGAUUGAGAUAUUCUGCUUUUUUCUUGGAGAAACUGAGAUACUAAUCAUCACAAUAAAUCUUGUGAAUCAGUUCCAUCAUCUCUCUGUGUCUCUCCUGGUUAAAAAAAGACCAUUUUUAGGACCGUUUGAAAACAAUGCGAAAAACUUAAAGACAAUGGCAAAGGAACGGAAAUUUCAAAAGUGGACAGCUAUAAACAGAAAGCUAAGCAAAUCAGGUGGAAGCAAGUGAAAGGAAAAAAAGGCCCGUAAACCAAAGUCUAACAACAGUAAACAAUCAACCGAAAGGAGUAUAAUUCAUUGUGAUGAUGGGAUUGACAACGAGAGAUGUGAAAGACGAUGACAGUAGGAGACAAAAACAACAACGGUGGUACUCAAGUUUAGGCUAAAAUUAAGAUUCCUUCAAUAAGAUGAAAAGUGAAAAGCCUGAGGUUAAAAGAAAAAGUGUAUAAAAAAGGCAAAGAAGAUGGUCAAUAAAAGGAAAAGGUUAAAGACUAUCUGUUUUUGUUUACCUGGAACAAGAAAAAAAGUAAGAGUUAAGAGUAAAAAUGACGAGACCAAGAAAAGCUAAACAAGAAGAGGGAAGAAGAGGACGAUGAAGAUGAAAGUAUUAAUAUGUGAAAAAGGUUAGUCAGGGAAGAAAGCGAAAGAAAGUAAUUCAAGAAAAAAGAUAGGAGAAAGGGCAGAUGGUUAAGCCAAUUAAGCAAAAAAAAGGUUCUUAGAUGCAAUUGAAUGUCCAAUGUGUAUCUUGCUGUUGUUGAUUCCUAUUCGCCAUCAUCAUCAUCAUCAUCUUUGUCUUCAUCUUCCUUUGGUAUUAAGAAAACUAGGAAAAGACGAAGGAGAGAGUAAAGAAGUAAAAAAACCCGCUGCUGCUUAUGUUAAAGGCUUUUAGCCCAGAUAUUUAGUCCACAUUGGUUACCUUUUGCUCACUCGUAACUCUUAUUACAUUAUACAUACCUUGACCUGUCCAUCCAUCGGGCCCAUCUUUGGUAACCAUUAUUAUUAUGAUUAUUUUUUACUCGACUGACCUUUUAAGAAAUUGGCCUUCAUCAGCAACAUACGGAUAUGUAAAAAACAUAUUUACUCUCCCUCUACGAAAGUAAAAAAUAAAGGAGUGAAAGCCAAAAGAAAGUUGUUUUCCUGAUGCAGAUAUAAUGUUAUGCAUAUGGAUCUAUGGUCAAGGGAGGCCAAGGAGGAUAACGUUAUAACCUAGAGCAAAGAGGAAACCUGAAAGGAGAAGAAGGAAGGAAAAGCUUCAGGGAAGACAAUGUAAUAAUGUUAGGGAGUAAAGGUUAUUUACGGAAGAAAGGUAAAGAUGGUGUGUGUGUUCAUGUAUAUUAGAAGAAAAGGAGGAGGAAAAUGACCUGGUCAGGAUAUUAAGAUGGACAUAAGGACAAGGAAGUUCUCUUUUUUUGCGUAAACUUGCGAGGGGUUAUGGUGAGAGUUUUUACUCUCUACUUUUUUACCUUUCUUUACUUGGUAUAAAAAAGGGCAAAGGUAGAAUGGAUGAUUAUGAUUAUGAUGAAGAUGAUAAGGAAAGGAAAGGGAAAGGUGAAAGGGAUUCUCAACUGUUUUUGACUUGAUUAUUCCAAAUGGUUGUUGUUGAUUGUGUUUAUUAUUGUGACCAAUAAUAAAUAAGGAGAAACACCAAUGGGUAGAGAGGAAGUACACAAAGUUUAGAGGUGAAAGGAGCAACUUGAAAAAACAUAACCUUACCUAGUUACCUUUAUUAUCAGCUUUUUCAACCUUUUUUAGCCAUUUUUUACCUUUUUUUUCAAUCUUUUCUUCUUCCCUUUUUUUCACAUUGCUAACUUAUUAUGCUUAGUUUUUUUGAUCUUUUUUCACUUCUUUGCCCAUUUUUUCUUGAUUGUAAAUAUGUUAUUUAACCCCAAAAAAUGACUUGAAAAAACAUCCUUUUUUAACACAAAAUUGGCGCGAUUUGUUUUCAGCUUUUGCUUUCUCCUUUCUUCCUCUCCACCUUAGUCUUCACCUUCUUCAUCUUCAAUAUCUUCAUCGUCUACUUUACCAUCCUUUGCAUCCUUUUCUUCUUAAUCAUCUUGCUCGACACUUUUCCACCUUAUUUUGAUGUAAAACUUUUCAUAUUAAUGCCUGUGUAUCAGUCUGAUCAUUGGACAUGUGAAUAGGCAAUACAUUUGUGGGUUAAAAAUAGAGACUUAUUUGUAGAUGUCAUUACCUUGAUGUUUUUGAGGAAAGGUGUCACCUGAUGAGACGACAAAUUGUAGCUAUAAGGUUUGAUCAUUUGAUUGAAUCGUCUAAUAUUGAAAGUCACGAGCCGAGUCGAUAAAGCUGAUUCUUGUAAUUUCCAGGCUAGUUUCAAUGAGAAAAAAAAGUUAUCCAACUCGCUUUGCCCAACUAGCCACUUUGUUUUUCUGCAAAAUCACUUCCAUAUUUUAACCGUUGAGAAAUGGGUCAGAGAGGGUUGUUUAGACUCUAGAUUUUGACCUAUGGUCAGCUCUUUUUUACCGUUGACCGUGAGAAACACAAAAUCUCAUGCAACUGCAACUUUAACAAAGAAGUGAUCGAGUUAAUGCACAAUAGCCGUUAACUGUAUUUACCUGUCCUGACCAUCAAUAGAUACCAAAACACUCAAACCAAUCAACUUAUUAAAAAUGUAUCUAAUUGUAAAAUUGAAGCAUCAAGUCAAUCAAGGGUUAGACUUUUUACCAUUGAAGCUAGGUUAAGUAGAGUUAUUACAGCGAAAUAAAAGAGGCAGUUGGAUAAAUAUUUUAAUAAUAAUUGUGGACCAGCAACAAUAUUAGCAGCAAUAAUAAUGAUAAUAAUAAGUGACACCAAUUCGUCACUCUCACGAAUAUCUACUUGAAAAAAAAGAAACGGCAGAGACUCAACUUUUCACCUAAAUUUGAUUUCUUUUUUUCUGCCCAAAUUUCCCCAAAUCACAAUUAUUUAUAACAAAAAUAUAACCAAAAUCAACAUGGACUCUCCUUUUUUUCACCUCAAAAAAAAGUAAGCAUCACCUUUGAUCACCUUACUCUACUAAUAAAGGUGUCAAAUUAAGACCAAACCUUAUGGGUUGAAGUCACUCUGUAAUCCAUGAUGGUAAUCCAAAAAUAUUCAUGAUGAAACCAGUAAAAGAUCAUGAUGAAUAUAAUAAAGAUAAAAAGCAUUUCUUUUGAAUA